ACCAUUGAUGGUUACAAUUUUAUGGCUUAUACUCCAAUUGUCAAUGGAGAAAUUGCAUUGUAUUUUUACUUCUGGAUCCCACUGUUGAGCUCUUUUAA